CCCUAGCCCUGAUGGCAGUGGAAAUCCCACAGCAAGCGAUGGGAAAAGCAAGGCGCGAGGAAUUGUAGCGGACAGCAGGUUCCCGG
rnacentral:misc_RNA from 1 species